UACGGGGGGGGCAAGCGUUGUUCGGAAUUACUGGGCGUAAAGGGCUCGUAGGCGGCCAACUAAGUCAGACGUGAAAUCCCUCGGCUUAACCGGGGAACUGCGUCUGAUACUGGAUGGCUUGAGAUUGGGAGAGGGAUGCGGAAUUCCAGGUGUAGCGGCGAAAUGCGUAGAUAUCUGGAGGAACACCGGUGGCGAAGGCGGCAUCCUGGACCAACACUGACGCUGAGGAGCGAAAGCCAGGGGAGCAAACGGG
rnacentral:rRNA from 1 species